rnacentral:rRNA from 1 species
AUUGAACGCUGGCGGCAGGCUUAACACAUGCAAGUCGAACGAGUGGCGGACGGGUGAGUAAUGUUUGGGAAACUACCUUAUGGAGGGGGAUAACUACGGGAAACUGUAGCUAAUACCGCGUACCAUAGGAUGAGCCCAGGUGGGAUUAGUUAGUGGGUGGGGGAAAGGCUCACCAAGGCGAAGAUCCCUAGCUGGUCUGAGAGGGUGACCGGCCACACUGGGACUGAGACACGGUCCAGACUCCUAUGGGAGGCAGCAGGGGGGAAUAUUGCGCAAUGGGGGCAAGCCUGACGCAGCCAUGCCGCGUGAAUUAAGAAGGCCAUAGGGUUGUAAAGUACUUUCAGCGGGGAGGCGUUACCCGCAGAAGAAGCACCGGCUAACUCCGUGCCAGCCGCCGCGGUAAUAC